rnacentral:lncRNA from 10 species
GCGCGCUUUCCCGGCUGCGCGCCCGCCCGGUCACGCGCCCUGCUCACCGCGCGCUCGCGUGGGGGCGUCCCCUCUGGCCCCGCGCACGCGCGCUACGUCCCUCAGACUGGCUGCCCCCGAGGGUUCGCCCCCAAAUCCUGUCAGUCCACGGCCUUGAUGGAGCGGCCCCCGUGGGACGACCCUGUUGAUUGUGCUAGCGGAUGUUGUCUCCAUUCUGGAUCUGGGAAAAACUGUGGAGUGAAAGCCGGACCUGUUAGGGUUGGGACCUGAAAGCGGACUUUUUCGCUCUCAGACGGGCCCCAGUAGAGACGGGGUUUCACCGUGUUAGCCAGGAUGGUCUCGAUCUCCUGACCUCGUGAUCCGCCCGCCUCGGCCUCCCAAAGUACUGGCGUGAGCCACCGCGCCGGGCCCCCACUUCUCAACUGAUGACUGCGACACUCCCUUGAGGACGGGAGCUCUUUCAGGCCAGUGGUUUGUUGUUCAUCAAGAUAUCCAAGUACCCGGCAACAUUCCUGGCAUAUAAUAGGAAGGCAGAUCUGGUGAAUGAAUGAAUGAAUGGCGGUAUCUGGAGCAGAGACAAUGAAUUUCAUGUUUAACAGAGGUGUCUUCAAGGAGAUGAAACAAUUCAGAAUGACCUAGGCAAUGGGGUAAUUCCUAAGUAUUGUAGGUCAAGAUAUUGGUUACCUAUGAGGGGGUGAUGCCUGGAGGAAGACCUAAGGGGAGGUCUUCUGGAUACUGAGUGCAUGGACCCCACCACCGUGCCCUGAGGAAGCCCAAACAACCCAUGGAGACAUCCGCAUGGAGAGACCUGUGCCCUCAGUCCUGGUUGAACUCCCAGCUGACAGUCAAUGUCAACUUGCCAGCCAUAUGAGUGAACCAUACUGAAGUUCAUCAUCCAUCCCUGAGUAAAGCUACGUGAGCUGACACCAUGUGGAGAAGAAACAAGCAUUCUUACUGAGCCCCGCCCAAAUUGCCGAUUCAUGAACUAAAAAAAAAGAUUGCUGUUCAUUUAAGCCACUAAAUUUUAGGAAUGUUUAGUAAGCAGCAAUCUAUAACUAGAACAAUGGUCAAUAAAUGAAAAUUUUACUUUAAGAAGGCAUACUAUAGCCACAUAACUUUGGGAAACUCUCUUGGUUAAAGUUUUAAAAAUUUCCCUUACUGCAGAGCUUUUAAUGGGCUAAUGUGUUUCAUGUUCCCUCACAAGAGUAUCCAGUGUUUCUCAAACAUUUUUAACCACAGAAUCUGUAUUGUAAAGUGCCAUCUUGCGAGAUUGGGGUUAACGGCCAG